GCCUCUGUGGAUCAAGGUUAGAUCACCUCGGUACUGUGUUGCCUUCUUAGCCCUGGCAUGAGGAGAUGUGGGUUCGAAUCCCACUGGAGGCC